rnacentral:lncRNA from 1 species
GCGGGCAUCUGAGGAGGAAAAAAAGAGAGCGGAGGGAGGGCAGCAAUUGAUGGAGAGAGAUAGGACCCGUUUGCCUAUUUGGGAUAGGUUUAGAAGAUUAUUGAAAGAAAGUAUACUGUAGGACACCAAACACUGAUGUGUCCAUAUUUUGGUGCUUACGUGUGCCAUGUAGUUAAAAAAAUUGACAAAAACCAUGACCGGCAAGGACUAUAAAGUCUGCGGAAGGGUUCAAUUAUGCAGCAGCAAGGGGAAUGUGUGGAGACCGGAUGGAUUUUUCAGCAGCAUCGGAGGUCAGAGAGGAGAUCAGUGAACUCCCUAUUUAAGUGGUGUGGCUGCAACUUCUCUUUUUCCAUCGUUCUGGAUUAUAGCCGCCAUAAUCCUCCUUUGAUAAGGUGAGUUUAGCGAGGGUCUUUGUCCGUUUAAUUUUUUUGAGAAUUUUUGAAUGCUCAUCAGACAUUCCAAGAGUUGUUGCUAGAUAAACAACAGCCAUCCAGCACCCGUGAUGCAUCAAUUAAAUAGAAGGGUUCAUCUUCGGCUCAACAUUAGAUAAUGGAUUUUUGUUUUCUCCUUUUGUUUUCUAUUUUAUUUUGCUCUUCAACUUCCAUUGGUGCAUUGGGGGUUGCUACUGGUGAUAUGAUAGUUCUUGGCAUCCAAUGCGAAAUCACAUGGAGGGGGUUGAAUGUAGGAAAAGGAGGUUUCAUGAAGGAAGAGAAUCUCUGAAUCACCGCAUUUUUUUUUAAAAAAAAGACAGUGGAACAUUGAGGAGAGGAAAAGUGGACAUGAAAAGGAAAUUGGGAAGGUGACUGGAGAAUUCGGUAGGGAUAAUGAUGAGGAAUGGGAAAAAAAUAUUUUUUUAGAAAAAAAAUUAUGCGGAUAGCCGCAUAAAGAAGGUGCAUGUCUGCAUCAUCACAGCCAACUCGAUAGCACGAGUCAAGGGC